rnacentral:misc_RNA from 1 species
GAUGAAGAACGUAGCGAAAUGCGAUACGUAAUGUGAAUUGCAGAAUUCAGUGAAUCAUCGAGUCUUUGAACGCACAUUGCGCCCCCUUGUAUUCCGGGGGGCAUGCCUGUCCGAGCGUCAUUGCUGCCCUCAAGCACGGCUUGUGUGUUGGGCCUCCGUCCUCCUCCCGGGGGACGGGCCCGAAAGGCAGCGGCGGCACCGCGUCCGGUCCUCGAGCGUAUGGGGCUUCGUCACCCGCUCUUGUAGGCCCGGCCGGCGCUUGCCGACACAUCAAUCUUUUUUCCAGGUUGACCUCGGAUCAGGUAGGGAUACCCGCUGAACUUAAGCAUAUCAAUAAGCGGAGGA